CGAAAAAAGCAGAGGCACCCGCUUCUCACCUGUUCAACGCUAGCAAUAGCAGUUGGCUGGUACACCGAACGUUCAGAAAUGAUGAUGAGGUCGUGUGGGUGCAGUAUGCGCCGACGCUUUUUUUAUUUG
rfam:Fictibacillus macauensis ZFHKF-1 Contig34, whole genome shotgun sequence.